rnacentral:sRNA from 19 species
GUCAAGCCUAGGGCGGCCACCCGAAUCCCGGAUUCCUUCACCGGCUGGCUUGACACCUUCCGAAGG